rnacentral:rRNA from 1 species
UACGGAGGGUGCAAGCGUUAUCCGGAUUUACUGGGUUUAAAGGGUGCGUAGGUGGGUAGUAAAGUCAGUGGUGAAAUCUUCGGGCUUAACCCGGAAACUGCCAUUGAUACUAUUUAUCUUGAAUACUUUGGAGGUAAGCGGAAUAUGUCAUGUAGCGGUGAAAUGCUUAGAUAUGACAUAGAACACCAACUGCGAAGGCAGCUUACUACACAGUUAUUGACGCUGAGGCACGAAAGCGUGGGGAUCAAACAGG